AACGCGAAGAACCUUACCAGGUCUUGACAUCCCGCUGACCGCUCUAGAGAUAGAGUUUUCCCUUCGGGGACAGCGGUGACAGGUGGUGCAUGGUUGUCGUCAGCUCGUGUCGUGAGAUGUUGGGUUAAGUCCCGCAACGAGCGCAACCCUUGAUCUUAGUUGCCAGCAUUCAGUUGGGCACUCUAAGGUGACUGCCGGUGAUAAACCGGAGGAAGGUGGGGAUGACGUCAAAUCAUCAUGCCCCUUAUGACCUGGGCUACACACGUGCUACAAUGGACGGUACAGAGGGUCGCAACCCCGCGAGGGUGAGCUAAUCCCAUAAAACCGUUCUCAGUUCGGAUUGUAGGCUGCAACUCGCCUACAUGAAGCCGGAAUCGCUAGUAAUCGUGGAUCAGCAUGCCACGGUGAAUACGUUCCCGGGCCUUGUA
rnacentral:rRNA from 1 species